rnacentral:rRNA from 1 species
AAUAUUGGACAAUGGGGGCAACCCUGAUCCAGCCAUGCCGCGUGUGUGAAGAAGGUUNNNGGAUUNUAACUCACUUUAAGUAGNGAGNAAGGGCUUUAGGUUAAGACCCUGAAGUUUUGACGCUACCAACAGACUAAGCACCGGCUAACUCUGUGCCAGCCGCCGCGGUAAUACAGAGGGUGCAAUCGUUAAUUGGAAUUACUGGGCUUAGAGCGCGCGUAGGUGGGUCAGUAAGAUAGGUGAGAAGUCCCCGGGCAUAACCUGGGAACUGCUUUCAUAACUGAUGAGAUAGAAUACGGUAGAGGGUAGUGGAAUUUCCUGUGUAGCGGUGAAAUGCGUAGAUGUAGGAAGGAACACCAGUGGAGAAGGCGACUACCUGGACUGAUACUGACACUGAGGUGCGAAAGCGUGGGGAGCAAACA